UACGAAGGGGGCUAGCGUUGCUCGGAAUCACUGGGCGUAAAGGGCGCGUAGGCGGAUCUUUAAGUCGGGGGUGAAAGCCCAGGGCUCAACCCUGGAAUUGCCUUCGAUACUGAAGAUCUCGAGACCGGAAGAGGUAAGUGGAACUGCGAGUGUAGAGGUGAAAUUCGUAGAUAUUCGCAAGAACACCAGUGGCGAAGGCGGCUCACUGGCCCAUAACUGACGCUGAGGCACGAAAGCGUGGGGAGCAAACAGG
rnacentral:rRNA from 1 species